rnacentral:snoRNA from 1 species
ACGCCUUCUGCCUCGCUCGAUUUAAUGAUGUCAUGAUUAAGUCUUGAGCUGGAUACAGUUGAGUCUUUUAAAGACCAACUCGUAAGGGGCAAGAACAACUUUAAAGAUUUCCUUUGAGUGCGAUGACACCAAGGUCCUAUGGUCUGGAUGGUGGCAUUGUAAUUAUAAAUCUUUACAACU